rnacentral:rRNA from 1 species
UACAGAGGGUGCAAGCGUUGUUCGGAAUUAUUGGGCGUAAAGGGAGUGUAGGCGGCUAGGUAAGUCUUCUGUGAAAUCUACGGGCUUAACUCGUUAAAGUGCAGAAGAUACUGCUUGGCUUGAGUGUCGGAGAGGAUAGUGGAAUUCCCGGUGUAGAGGUGAAAUUCGUAGAGAUCGGGAGGAACACCAGUGGCGAAGGCGACUAUCUGGCUGACAACUGACGCUGAGACUCGAAAGCAUGGGGAGCAAACAGG